rnacentral:rRNA from 1 species
GGUUAAGCGACUAAGCGUACACGGUGGAUGCCCUGGCAGUCAGAGGCGAUGAAGGACGUGCUAAUCUGCGAUAAGCGUCGGUGAGGUGAUAUGAACCGUUAUAACCGGCGAUUUCCGAAUGGGGAAACCCAGUGUGUUUCGACACACUAUCAUUAACUGAAUCCAUAGGUUAAUGAGGCGAACCGGGGGAACUGAAACAUCUAAGUACCCCGAGGAAAAGAAAUCAACCGAGAUUCCCCCAGUAGCGGCGAGCGAACGGGGAGCAGCCCAGAGCCUGAAUCAGUGUGUGUGUUAGUGGAAGCGUCUGGAAAGGCGCGCGAUACAGGGUGACAGCCCCGUACACAAAAAUGCACAUGCUGUGAGCUCGAUGAGUAGGGCGGGACACGUGGUAUCCUGUCUGAAUAUGGGGGGACCAUCCUCCAAGGCUAAAUACUCCUGACUGACCGAUAGUGAACCAGUACCGUGAGGGAAAGGCGAAAAGAACCCCGGCGAGGGGAGUGAAAAAGAACCUGAAACCGUGUACGUACAAGCAGUGGGAGCCUCUUUAUGGGGUGACUGCGUACCUUUUGUAUAAUGGGUCAGCGACUUAUAUUCUGUAGCAAGGUUAACCGAAUAGGGGAGCCGAAGGGAAACCGAGUCUUAACUGGGCGUUAAGUUGCAGGGUAUAGACCCGAAACCCGGUGAUCUAGCCAUGGGCAGGUUGAAGGUUGGGUAACACUAACUGGAGGACCGAACCGACUAAUGUUGAAAAAUUAGCGGAUGACUUGUGGCUGGGGGUGAAAGGCCAAUCAAACCGGGAGAUAGCUGGUUCUCCCCGAAAGCUAUUUAGGUAGCGCCUCGUGAAUUCAUCUCCGGGGGUAGAGCACUGUUUCGGCAAGGGGGUCAUCCCGACUUACCAACCCGAUGCAAACUGCGAAUACCGGAGAAUGUUAUCACGGGAGACACACGGCGGGUGCUAACGUCCGUCGUGAAGAGGGAAACAACCCAGACCGCCAGCUAAGGUCCCAAAGUCAUGGUUAAGUGGGAAACGAUGUGGGAAGGCCCAGACAGCCAGGAUGUUGGCUUAGAAGCAGCCAUCAUUUAAAGAAAGCGUAAUAGCUCACUGGUCGAGUCGGCCUGCGCGGAAGAUGUAACGGGGCUAAACCAUGCACCGAAGCUGCGGCAGCGACGCUUAUGCGUUGUUGGGUAGGGGAGCGUUCUGUAAGCCUGCGAAGGUGUGCUGUGAGGUAUGCUGGAGGUAUCAGAAGUGCGAAUGCUGACAUAAGUAACGAUAAAGCGGGUGAAAAGCCCGCUCGCCGGAAGACCAAGGGUUCCUGUCCAACGUUAAUCGGGGCAGGGUGAGUCGACCCCUAAGGCGAGGCCGAAAGGCGUAGUCGAUGGGAAACAGGUUAAUAUUCCUGUACUUGGUGUUACUGCGAAGGGGGGACGGAGAAGGCUAUGUUGGCCGGGCGACGGUUGUC